AUGUUGCAUAACCACUCUCUCCAUCUGUAUGUUAAACCUAAACCAGAGCAGGAGAUGAGAAUUGUGCACUAGCAUGAGCAAAGUCAUUGCGUUUGAAUCACAGUCUCAGCAGUCCUCCUCCUUGAACCUUUAAAGUAUAUUUUUAAAACUGCUUACAUAAUAAGAAUGGCAGAGUUUUAUUGUGACCCUUGGCAGAGUUUUAUUAUGACCCCAAGGAAGUUAGUUAAGCUUUUUAUUUCCACACAGGCAUUUAAAGUUUUUGUUUCAAACUGAACAAACAGAAUGAACAGUCCGUACUGUUUGCUUGUGUAUAAAAAAUGAUUGAACAGAUCCCAGGCAUCUCAGACAGGGCAGGUAGAAGAGUCCCAGGGCUCGUGUUAGGAACACUAACUCAAGUGCCUAGAAAACCUACUGUUGCCACACCAUACAGGGAUUUGUG
rnacentral:lncRNA from 1 species